rnacentral:rRNA from 1 species
CACGUAGUUAGCCGGUGCUUAUUCUUACGGUACCGUCAUGGGCCCCCUGUAUUAGAAGGAGCUUUUUCGUUCCGUACAAAAGCAGUUUACAACCCGAAGGCCUUCAUCCUGCACGCGGCAUUGCUGGAUCAGGCUUUCGCCCAUUGUCCAAAAUUCCCCACUGCUGCCUCCCGUAGGAGUCUGGGCCGUGUCUCAGUCCCAGUGUGGCUGGUCGUCCUCUCAGACCAGCUACAGAUCGUCGGCUUGGUAAGCUUUUAUCCCACCAACUACCUAAUCUGCCAUCGGCCGCUCCAAUCGCGCGAGGCCCGAAGGUCCCCCGCUUUCAUCCUCAGAUCGUAUGCGGUAUUAGCUACUCUUUCGAGUAGUUAUCCCCCACGACUGGGCACGUUCCGAUGUAUUACUCACCCGUUCGCCACUCGUCAGCGUCCGAAGACCUGUUACCGUUCGACUUGCAUGUGUAAGGCAUGCCGCCAGCGUUCAAUCUGAGCCAGGAUCAAACUCU